GGCGAACGGGUGAGUAAUAUAGUCGAACGUGCCCAGUCGUGGGGGAUAACGUAGCGAAAGUUACGCUAAUACCGCAUACGAUCUAAGGAUGAAAGCGGGGGAUCGCAAGACCUCGCGCGAUUGGAGCGGCCGAUAUCAGAUUAGGUAGUUGGUGAGGUAAAGGCUCACCAAGCCAACGAUCUGUAGCUGGUCUGAGAGGACGACCAGCCACACUGGAACUGAGACACGGUCCAGACUCCUACGGGAGGCAGCAGUGGGGAAUUUUGGACAAUGGACGCAAGUCUGAUCCAGCCAUUCCGCGUGCAGGAUGAAGGCCCUCGGGUUGUAAACUGCUUUUGUACGGAACGAAACGGUGAGCUCUAAUACAGUUUGCUAAUGACGGUACCGUAAGAAUAAGCACCGGCUAACUACGUG
rnacentral:rRNA from 1 species